CAUGCACCGGUGGGGUCCCUUGACCUGGCCUUCAGGGGUCAGGCCGAAAUUGGCUCUCUGACAUUCCCUGAGGUUCCCAGAUUGUGAGAGGGUGCAGGCCAGGUCAAGGGACCCCACCGGUGCACA
rnacentral:pre_miRNA from 1 species